GUCCAUGUUGAACAACCACACACUAUGCCAUGGCAGCCUGGUGUUCAUCAUGGUGCAUCAGGGCUGGACAUGAACCAGUUUGUUGCUGUGCAGCAUGGUUAUGCCACACCAAAUGUGCAACACAGUACAACAGGGCUUGAUACCCACAAUCUGGUCCAUGUUGUGCAACAACCACACACUAUGUAAUGGCAG